UACGGAGGAUGCGAGCGUUAUCCGGAUUUAUUGGGUUUAAAGGGUGCGUAGGCGGAAUGCCAAGUCAGCGGUAAAAUACGGGGGCUCAACCUCCGCCCGCCGUUGAAACUGACGGUCUUGAGUGGGCGAGAAGUAUGCGGAAUGCGUGGUGUAGCGGUGAAAUGCAUAGAUAGUCAACGCAGAACUCCGAUUGCGAAGGCAGCAUACCGGCGCCCAACUGACGCUGAAGCACGAAAGCGUGGGUAUCGAAACAGGA
rnacentral:rRNA from 1 species